rnacentral:rRNA from 1 species
UACGUAGGGGGCUAGCGUUGUCCGGAAUCAUUGGGCGUAAAGAGCGUGUAGGCGGCCCGGUAAGUCCGCUGUGAAAGUCGGGGGCUCAACCCUCGAAUGCCGGUGGAUACUGUCGGGCUAGAGUGCGGAAGAGGCGAGUGGAAUUCCCGGUGUAGCGGUGAAAUGCGCAGAUAUCGGGAAGAACACCCGUGGCGAAGGCGGCUCUCUGGGACGGUACUGACGCUGAGACGCGAAAGCGUGGGGAGCAAACAGG